rnacentral:rRNA from 1 species
UACGUAGGGUGCAAGCGUUAAUCGGAAUUACUGGGCGUAAAGCGUGCGCAGGCGGUUAUGUAAGACAGGUGUGAAAUCCCCGGGCUUAACCUGGGAACUGCAUUUGUGACUGCAUAGCUAGAGUACGGUAGAGGGGGAUGGAAUUCCGCGUGUAGCAGUGAAAUGCGUAGAUAUCAGGAGGAAUACCGAUGGCGAAGGCAGGUCUCUGGGCUGACACUGACGCUCAUGCACGAAAGCGUGGGGAGCAAACAGG